GAUGAACGCUGGCGGCGUGCCUAAUACAUGCAAGUCGAGCGAAUGGAUUAAGAGCUUGCUCUUAUGAAGUUAGCGGCGGACGGGUGAGUAACACGUGGGUAACCUGCCCAUAAGACUGGGAUAACUCCGGGAAACCGGGGCUAAUACCGGAUAACAUUUUGAACCGCAUGGUUCGAAAUUGAAAGGCGGCUUCGGCUGUCACUUAUGGAUGGACCCGCGUCGCAUUAGCUAGUUGGUGAGGUAACGGCUCACCAAGGCAACGAUGCGAAGCCGACCUGGAAGGGUGAUCGGCCACGCUGGGACUGGGACACGGCCCAGACUCCUACGGGAGGCAGCAGUAGGUAAUCUUCCGCAAUGGACGAAAGUCUGACGGAGCAACGCCGCGUGAGUGAUGAAGGCUUUCGGGUCGUAAAACUCUGUUGUUAGGGAAGAACAAGUGCUAGUUGAAUAAGCUGGCACCUUGACGGUACCUAACCAGGAAGCCGCGGCUAACUACGUGCCAGCCGCCGCAGUAA
rnacentral:rRNA from 1 species